rnacentral:rRNA from 1 species
UACAGAGUCCAAGCGUUGUUCGGAUUCAUUGGCGUAAAGGGUGCGUAGGUGGCGCCGUAAGUCGGUGGUGAAAUUCGGAGCUUAACUCCGAAACUGCAUUCGAUACUGCGGUGCUUGAGGACUGGAGAGGAGACUGGAAUUCAUGGUGUAGCAGUGAAUGCGUAGAGAUCAAUGAGGAAGACCAGUGGCGAAGGCGGGUCUCUGGA